rnacentral:rRNA from 13 species
UUACGCGCAGCAGGACGGAAAGACCCCGGGACCUUUACUAUAGUUUGGUAUUGGUGAUUGGGACGGUUUGUGUAGGAUAGGUGGGAGACGUUGAUGCGGCCACGCUAGUGGUGGUGGAGUCGUUGGUGAAAUACCACUCUGAUUGUUCUGGUUAUCUCACUGUGGACCGUGAUCCGGUUCAAGGACAGUGCCUGAUGGGUAGUUUGACUGGGGCGGUCGCCUCCUAAAGGGUAACGGAGGCGCCCAAAGGUUCCCUCAGCCUGGUUGGUAAUCAGGUGGUGAGUGUAAGUGCACAAGGGGGCUUGACUGUGAGACUGACAGGUCGAGCAGGGACGAAAGUCGGGACUAGUGAUCUGACGGUGGCUUGUGGAUGCGCCGUCACUCAACGGAUAAAAGGUACCCCGGGGAUAACAGGCUGAUCUUGCCCGAGCGCUCAUAGCGACGGCAUGGUUUGGCACCUCGAUGUCGGCUCGUCGCAUCCUGGGGCUGGAGUCGGUCCCAAGGGUUGGGCUGUUCGCC